rnacentral:lncRNA from 1 species
UGGAUUUGUUGUUGAAGUUGUUAGUUGUUGUUGAUGUUGUUAGUUGUUGUUGAUGUUGUUAGUUGUUGUUGAUGUUGUUAGUUGUUGUUGAUGUUGUUAGUUGUUGUUGAUGUUGUUAGUUGUUGUUGAUGUUGUUAGUUGUUGUUGAUGUUGUUAGUUGUUGUUGAUGUUGUUAGUUGUUGUUGAUGUUGUUAGUUGUUGUUGAUGUUGUUAGUUGUUGUUGAUGUUGUUAGUUGUUGUUGAUGUUGUUAGUUGUGUUGUUGAAGUUAUUGUUGGUUGUGGGACAGGAUUGGGCUGUGUAUUUGAGUUGUGAUCUAUUGUAUGUUGAGAGAUUGAUGAUCCUUAGUGUUGGUUGGUUCAUACCCCCACACACCAACUCGUUUUUAAUUCCAAGAGAAGAUUUAUUGGUUGUUGAAGUUGUAGUGGUGUUGUGUUGAAGUUCUUGCUGGUUUAGUACAGAUUUCUGGCUGUGAUUUUUGAGUUGAAUCUAUUGUAUAUUAAUGGUCUUUAUGAUUCUAUGUGUUGCUGCUGAAACCUUGAGGUUGAGAGAGUUUAGAAUUGGAAAGAAACAAGGGGAAAAAGUC